rnacentral:rRNA from 1 species
AUUGAACGCUGGCGGCAUGCCUUACACAUGCAAGUCGAACGGCAGCAUAGGAGCUUGCUCCUGAUGGCGAGUGGCGAACGGGUGAGUAAUAUAUCGGAACGUGCCCUAGAGUGGGGGAUAACUAGUCGAAAGACUAGCUAAUACCGCAGACGAGCUACGGCUGAAAGUGGGGGAUCGCAAGACCUCAUGCCCCUGGAGAGGCCGAUAACUGAUAGUUAGUUGGUGGGGUAAAAGCCUACCAAGGCAACGAUCAGUAGCUGGUCUGAGAGGACGACCAGCCACACUGGGACUGAGACACGGCCCAGACUCCUACGGGAGGCAUCAGUGGGGAAUUUUGGACAAUGGGGGCAACCCUGAUCCAGCAAUGCCGCGUGAGUGAAGAAGGCCUUCGGGUUGUAAAGCUCUUUUGUCAGGGAAGAAACUGUAGUUGCGAAUAACUAUUACUAAUGACGGUACCUGAAGAAUAAGCACCGGCUAACUACGUGCCAGCCGCCGCUGUAACAC